rnacentral:rRNA from 1 species
ACCUGACUGCUAUCGGAUUGAUACUAAGCCAUGCGAGUCUUUGCAGUAAUGCAAGGCGGACUGCUCAGUAACACGUAGUCAACUUAACCUAUGGAUGGGUAUAACCUCGGGAAACUGAGAAUAAUUCCCAAUAGAUCAUUUAUCCUGGAACGGUUAGUGAUUGAAAUGAUUCGUCGCCAUAGGAUAGGACUGCGGCCUAUCAGCUUGUUGGUGAGGUAAAGGCCCACCAAGGCUAUUACAGGUACGGGCUCUGAGAGGAGAAGCCCGGAGAUGGGUACUGAGACACGGACCCAGGCCCUAUGGGGCGCAGCAGGCGAGAAAACUUUGCAAUGUGCGAAAGCACGACAAGGUUAAUCCGAGUGAUUUCUGCUAAAGGAAUCUUUUGCUAGUUCUAAAAAUACUAGUGAAUAAGGGGUGGGCAAGUUCUGGUGUCAGCCGCCGCGGUAAAACCAGCACCUCAAGUGGUCAGGAGGAUUAUUGGGCCUAAAGCAUCCGUAGCCGGCUCUGUAAGUUUUCGGUUAAAUCCAUGUGCUCAACGCAUGGGCUGCCGAAAAUACUGCAUAGCUAGGGAGUGGGAGAGGUAGACGGUACUCGGUAGGAAGGGGUAAAAUCCUUUGAUCUAUCGAUGACCACCUGUGGCGAAGGCGGUCUACCAGAACACGUUCGACGGUGAGGGAUGAAAGCUGGGGGAGCAAACCGGAUUAGAUACCCGGGUAGUCCCAGCUGUAAACGAUGCAGACUCGAUGAUGCAUUGGCAUAUAGCCAGUGCAGUGUCGCAGGGAAGCCGUUAAGUCUGCCGCCUGGGAAGUACGUACGCAAGUAUGAAACUUAAAGGAAUUGGCGGGGGAGCACCACAAGGGGUGAAGCCUGCGGUUC